rnacentral:tRNA from 1 species
GUGCCUGUAGUUCAGUUGGUUAGAGCGUCAGAUUGUGGUUCUGAAUGUCGUGGGUGCGAGCCCCACCAGGCACC